GCGCUUGUGGCUCAGCUGGAUAGAGCACCAGGCUACGAACCUGUAGGUCGGGAGUUCGAAUCUCUCCAGGCGCGCCA
rnacentral:tRNA from 1 species